GUGAAGGAGGAAGCAGCAUUCAGUUAAGAUGGAAAUAAUUAGGGUUUUAUGAUAAUUACAGGAUUUCAACUUAAUCAUAGAAAGGGAGUGUCCACUUACAAAACCAAUGUCUUUUGACUGUAUUCCGUCGUUCUUUUUACAAUUUGAUGAAUGAUCAUCCAAAGCCACAGUGACAGGGUUUAGAAGAGCGAGCUGGCAGCACUAUCCUGACCAUCAGAAUGAAGCUGAUCCUUUCUGUGAUUCUUCUUUGGACGUUCUACAUUUCAGCUGAAGGUCUGGACUGUCUAAGCUGCAGAGAUUCAUCGUGUUUCAUUGAAGAAUUUCGGAGUGUUUCUGUCACAUGUUCCUCAGAGACCAUGUGUGUAACCGCCUCCAUUCUAGAGACUGCACAAAAUGGCAGUUCAGUGUUGAACUUUUUCAACGGCUGUGCAUCACCCUCUGUGUGUUCAUCCACGGGGCCAAAGACAUUCUCACUGCAUCUUGGUCUCUUUGGUAAAGUGAUAUCUGCUAACUGCUGUGACAUGGACAACUGCAACACUCAGGCUUUCCCUCGUAUUCCCGAUCAAUUGGAAAACACUCUCAGUUGUUUCUAUUGUAUUGACAAUGAUAAUUGUGAGGCCGGCUUUACCUGUCUAGGAGGCGAGGACAGGUGUAUCCAAGGAAAUGUAACGAGCGGCACUCCAGUUUAUGGCUGUGCAUCUUCCAGUGUUUGCCAAGUUGUAUCAAACAAUGGAGAAGUGCCAUUCUUUGAAGAUCUUGGAGAAUUCAGGAGUGCAUCCACAUGUUGUGCUACUAACUUGUGUAACAAUGAAAUAUCAAUACUUUCAGGUAUGUGAUCGCAACUUGCAUAUCAAAUUUCGACUAUUGUUCUUUAUAUGGGCUGUGUGAACAAUUGUAGACUCGCACGAAAAACAAUUGUGGGUCAGUCAAAUUAUUAAUUGCUUAAAAAUAGAAAUGAAGAGUCAAUAAUAAGAAGAAAGUGAUAUACUGGUCCUAUAAUGAUAUACUGGUCCUAUAAUGCUAGACAUACUUCCUAUGUCUAGCAUAAAUUUGCAAUUUUGAAUUAACCAUCAAUUUUUUCACAUGGUUAAAUGUUGAGCAGUCUGCAUCAGACCUGAACAGUCUGAGUCUGCCUGUGUCCCUGAAGGCAUCGCAGCACAUGGUGAGCCAGGCAUAAUUCACAGUAGAUAUGAUUCAGAACUAAAACACAUGCUUAUUGCCAUCCAUCUUGAGACUAAAAUCCACGCUGUAAGUCCAGCUCAUAAACCUGUGUUCCCAAACAUCCGGCCUUCAGUUGGUGCUGUUGCAAAAAAAAAAUGGUAGGGUCCUAAACCGCGGGUCCUAAUUCAAUGGGUCCUUGACCGAUGGUUUUCGGCUGUGCCAACAUAUACUCCUUGAAACGAGUAUAGCCUCCGUUCACAGCCAAGAGAGCACAAUUAUGUAGUUUUGUGUUGGGUUAAUGGUGCACUAAUCGCCGUGAUAGUUCAGUUAAACGUGGAUUCUUUAGUAAGGGAAGUCGGCAAGUCAGAUCUGUAACUUUGGGAUAAGGAUUGGCUCUCAGAGCUUGGCCACUCGCUGCGUCUGUGGCACUCCCCCCUACUCCCUGCCUCGCCUCUGUCGUCGGUAUUUUAAUAUUCUGAUUGAAGUAGUGCCUGAUUUGUAGGUACCUGAAAAAAUCUUAGGAGCCCAACCCAUGUUUAUGCCUCAGCGCAUCAAUUGUUUGUAGAGCCCCCUUGUGGACAAAUCAAUUACAGUUGGUUAAUCCUUUCCAAAAUACUGUUUUAAAUCUGUUAUCAUAGUUAUUAGGAGUAAAUUCUGAAUCAUAUGCACACCAUUUCAGAAUUUUAGAUUCCUCCUGUAAACCACAUAUGUUAAUUACUUAAUUCCAGGCUGGAAUUAUUGUGUACAAUAUGUGUUCAGUUGAAAGACCUUUUUUGGAUAGCAAUUUAAAGUCUGCAAUUAGAGCUUUGAGUGGUAUCCCUUUGAUUGUAGUCCCCUCUAUAUCCUUCCUUCCGCUGUGUAAGUUGGAGAGCACAGACAAACUAGGGGCCUCACCUGGGAAGCAUAAAAAUAUUCUCGUAAACAUUUUCUUUCUUAAUUUGUUUUUAACUUAAUUCUGGGUUUUUUACCCUUCCAUUGAAACCUAGAUAAAAUGUGGUUCAAUUCUGCAAAUAGUUUUUGAGGUAUGGAAAUGGUAAACAUUGGAACAAAUAUAAGGUCUAAAAUCAUUUUAAAUGGUAAUCAAUCGAUUGUAUAGACGCAAAGCAAUAACGCAUUGGUCUUAAGCGCGAGAGACUUUAGAUUUUUAAAAGCCCAUUUAAUAUUAAUAACGUUACUGUUUGUGACUUCAGUAGCUGUGUUUUCAUUACAGAUUUUCACAAAAUAAAAGCAAUAUUUCUAAAUGUUGACA
ensembl:lncRNA